rfam:Stegodyphus mimosarum contig24892, whole genome shotgun sequence.
GCUUUCGUGGUUUAAUGGUCAGCACACUGAGCCGGUAUUUCAGAGGUCCGCGGUUCGAUCCCCGGCGAAGGCA